rnacentral:rRNA from 1 species
CACUUAGAUGUUCUGGGCCGCACGCGUGCUACACUGAGUAAUUCAAUGGGUAAGGGAACGCUAGAGCAUUACCUAAUCUUGAAAUUUGCUCGUGAUGGGGAUCGACGGUUGCAAUUUUCCGUCGUGAACGAGGAAUACCUUGUAGGCGCAUGUCAUCAUCAUGCGCCGAAUACGUCCCUGCCCUUUGUACACACCGCCCGUCGCUCCUACCGAUUGAGUGAUCCGGUGAGGCUCUGGGACCUGGACGGAAAGAGCGUUUCGCUUGUUCUGUUUGGGAAACUUGGUCGAACCUUAUCAUUUAGAGGAAGGAGAAGUCGUAACA